rnacentral:rRNA from 1 species
GACGAACGCUGGCGGCGUGCUUAACACAUGCAAGUCGAACGGGAUCCGGGCUUUCGGGUUUGGUGAGAGUGGCGAACGGGUGAGUAACACGUGAGUAACCUGCCCCCUUCUUUGGGAUAACGUCGGGAAAUCGGCGCUAAUACUGGAUAUUCUUGCUGCAUCGCAUGGUGUGGUUUGGAAAGGGUUUCUGGUGGGGGAUAGGCUCGCGGCCUAUCAGCUUGUUGGUGGGGUGAUGGCCUACCAAGGCUUUGACGGGUAGCCGGCCUGAGAGGGUGUCCGGCCAAACUGGGACUGAGACACGGCCCAGACUCCUACGGGAGGCAGCAGUGGGGAAUAUUGCACAAUGGGCGCAAGCCUGAUGCAGCGACGCAGCGUGAGGGAUGACGGCCUUCGGGUUGUAAACCUCUUUCAGUAUGGAACAAGGAUCCUUCUUUUGGGGGGUUUGAGGGUACGUGCAGAAGAAGCGCCGGCUAACUACGUG